UCUUUUUAUUGUGUGCCAGCAGCCGCGGUAAUACGUAGGCGGCAAGCGUUGUCCGGAAUUAUUGGGCGUAAAGGGAGCGCAGGCGGGAAACUAAGCGGAUCUUAAAAGUGCGGGGCUCAACCCCGUGAUGGGGUCCGAACUGGUUUUCUUGAGUGCAGGAGAGGAAAGCGGAAUUCCCAGUGUAGCGGUGAAAUGCGUAGAUAUUGGGAAGAACACCAGUGGCGAAGGCGGCUUUCUGGACUGUAACUGACGCUGAGGCUCGAAAGCUAGGGUAGCGAACGGG
rnacentral:rRNA from 1 species